AGCGAACGCUGGCGGCAGGCUUAACACAUGCAAGUCGAACGCCCGUAGCAAUACGGGAGUGGCAGACGGGUGAGUAACGCGUGGGAACAUGCCCUUUGGUUCGGAAUAACUCAGGGAAACUUGAGCUAAUACCGGAUAAGCCCGAGAGGGGAAAGAUUUAUCGCCGAAGGAUUGGCCCGCGUCCGAUUAGCUAGUUGGUGAGGUAAUGGCUCACCAAGGCGACGAUCGGUAGCUGGUCUGAGAGGAUGAUCAGCCACACUGGGACUGAGACACGGCCCAGACUCCUACGGGAGGCAGCAGUGGGGAAUAUUGGACAAUGGGGGCAACCCUGAUCCAGCCAUGCCGCGUGAGUGAUGAAGGCCCUAGGGUUGUAAAGCUCUUUCGGCGGGGACGAUAAUGACGAUACCCGCAGAAGAAGCCCCGGCUAACUUCGUGCCAGCAGCCGCCGUAAGAC
rnacentral:rRNA from 1 species